GUGAGGCGACGGGCUCCGGGGUCCCCCACGCACGGCCACCCCUCCCAGCCACCAUCUGGCGCGAGCGGGUUGGCGUGGGGAACCGAAGUGGGGCGGGGGCCGGCAGAUGGGCCCAGGCUGCUCCGAGAGUUAAUGUAGGUUAUGGGCAGGCGGAGUCCCAGGCCCGAGGGAGGGGGAGCCCAGAGUGUGCCUCCCGGCAAUCCUGGCAAGUGGGCUUCCAGAUCCUCUCUCCGUGAAUACUCUAUGGCUCUCUAGACCUGCCUAGGAUGCCAGAAGGUGCUCCUCGCUCUUCUCUGAGCUGGCAUCCAGCCCCACCUAGCUCUGUCCGCUUCCAUUCCUAAAUCCUGGCCUGGGAGUUCAUAAAAACAUGAUCCUUUUUUUGGAUGUGGCACUUCCCUGACCCUCAAGAGAGACAUCCAUUUCCCCAGGAGGCAUCUCUAUCAAUACUGGCAGAUCUGGAACUUUCUCUAUCCUCUUAUACACCUGGACUAACAUCCCCAAAACGUUUUGCCCAUGGUCAAGGACCAAACAAAAGUUGGGAUCACUGCAAGGGAUUCUAGUGUUCUACAUAGUCUCUGAACCUGGAGGAAAACAGUAAAUUUUCCUCCUUACCAGAAACACCUGUUUGCAUGGGGCGCUGUCCAAAAGCUCACUACCUGGCCAGGACCCCAUCCUUAUCCCUGAGUACCUACUAUUACUCCAUUUUGCUGGGGUAGAAUUUUGCCCAAUUUGCUGAGCCGGAAAGGGUAACGCUGCAGGCAGGGAAUCCAAGUGAACGGGCCUGAAUGUUUCUGAACAGACACCCCAAUUCUGGAACACCUCACUUCCACACUCCAGCGGAAGGAUGAAAUUUGCAUUCUUGGGGCUCAAAAAAAGAGUAGGAAGCAGGGAAGCGAUAAAGAGGCCGCAGAUCACUUGGAUUGGGGACUCUUCGUCAGAGUCUACAGAUCCUAUGACUGAUGUAGACGCUUGACCACGCCCUGGAGAGUGGACUUCGACUUGGUUCAGACCAACCUGGGCUCCCACUAACUGCGAGUCUUUCUCGGAUCCACAGUUCCUCAAUCUCGACCCUGCCCAGCGUCGGAAGCCAGACCAGGGUGGAAGCCUGACUUCACACUGAGGACCACAGCCCCCGCCCCAAGAGGUCUUCUACUUUGCGGUCCUUUCAGUUUGGCUAUUGUGCUACCACUACACAUCAUUCCCGCAGCAGGCAGAACUAGCACCUGGAGCCAGGAAACACCAAGGUUGCCUUCCGCAGUGCACUCAGACUGACCCCGGGUCACUGGAGUACGUCCGGAGCCGGAGCCGUAAGUCUCUGCACUUCUUCCCAGCUGUGUGGCCUACAAGCCUUGCGCAGAGUCGUGGCCGCAGCUCCGAGUUCUCUAGUAGUUUUACCCCUCAUCCCACCUCCUCCAUUCCUCCCAGGGGACAGCGCUCUCGACCCGGCACACUGCAAAAGGGUAGAAACACAGUGGGGUCCCUGCCACAGAGCCCGAUGGGCAGGUUGGGGGCGGGGAAGCAGGCCUGGCUGGGGCGGAGCGCUUAAGCCUUGAGGGGCGCUGCUGUGGUGGAUGCGGAGAAGGGGCCACGUGCAGGGAGCGGCGGCCCGAGAGCUGCACAGAAGGCGGGGAGAUUUGCAAACUGUUGCUGCCACAUGGCUGCUCCAUUCGAUCCAUUCACAUUGAAAUGAGGCCGGCGCGUGCCUCAUCUGCCGCAGGGCGCUGCCACGCGUCAGCCCGACCCGCCGCGUGCCAACUGGGGCAGUGGGGCUGGCAAAGUCUGCCAGCCGUGGGGGCUCAGCCCAGGCCCUACAGCCAGGAGGGGGUAGGGGAAGGGCGUCGAGCUACCCUAGCCACUCAGGCGCCACUGAUUCUCGGACCUUGGCCCCGCAAUUGCGAUUGAGCCGGCAGAAAGGACUAGGACGGACGGUUUCAAAAGGGGGCCAGGAUCGAUGCCGCCGCUCCCCGCAGAUGCGCCCCGGCAGCGCUACUCUCCAUCUGCCGCUGCUCGCACCUGCCGGUCAAUAAAUCGAUUUUACAAUUUAAUGCAGCAGCUUCCCGCCCGCCUGGGACAGAUGCCGCCGCAGAACCACCUCCGCCUUCGCCCCUCCCCUCGAGGGGCGCCAGCGGUUAAGGACUGGAUUCCCGCUCAGCUGGCAGCGCCCUGCGGGGCUUAGUGCACCUCUCUUGGGAGCCCCUACAAGGAACUGCCCGCUCCGGGUUUUUCCCGCGGACAGAGUGGGUUCCCCAUAGGUCAGGCCUGAAGCUGGCCAAGGAGACCAAAUGAUGACUUGGCCGUGGCCUCGCUUGGGAAGGGGGGGCGGUUCAAGGAAGGAACAGGAUGCAGUGACUGAAGAUAAAAUGUGAGGGCCCCUGUGAGAAGGAAGGGGAGGGCCUUGGGCACUGAGGGACACUGAGUUCUGAAGAAUUUUAAGGGGGCUGAGCUGGGUGGAACACUGAGGUGGGAUGAGGGUUCUGCCUACCCUUUCUUGUCAGUCUGGUAAAUAAACAUGAUAGGGACUUGGCUCCCAGCACUUCCUAGCCAUG
rnacentral:lncRNA from 1 species